rnacentral:rRNA from 1 species
GAUGAACGCUGGCGGCGUGCCUAAUACAUGCAAGUCGAGCGAACAGAUGAGGAGCUUGCUCCUCUGACGUUAGCGGCGGACGGGUGAGUAACACGUGGAUAACCUACCUAUAAGACUGGGAUAACUUCGGGAAACCGGAGCUAAUACCGGAUAAUAUAUUGAACCGCAUGGUUCAAUAGUGAAAGACGGUUUUGCUGUCACUUAUAGAUGGAUCCGCGCCGCAUUAGCUAGUUGGUAAGGUAACGGCUUACCAAGGCAACGAUGCGUAGCCGACCUGAGAGGGUGGUCGGCCACACUGGAACUGAGACACGCUCCAGACUCCUACGGGAGGCAGCAGUAGGGAAUCUUCCGCAAUGGGCGAAAGCCUGACGGAGCAACGCCGCGUGAGUGAUGAAGGUCUUCGGAUCGUAAAACUCUGUUAUUAGGGAAGAACAAAUGUGUAAGUAACUAUGCACGUCUUGACGGUACCUAAUCAGAAAGCCACGGCUAACUACGUG